rnacentral:rRNA from 1 species
GAUUGGAGGAAAGCAGGGGAUCGCCACACCUUGCGCUCUUUAAUCGGCCGAUCUCUGAUUAGCUAGUUGGUGAGGUGGGGGCUUAUUAAGGCGACGAUCAGUAGCUGGUCUGAGAGGACGACCAGCCACACUGGGACUGAGACACGGCCCAGACUCCUACGGGAGGCAGCAGUGGGGAAUUUUGGACAAUGGGGGAAACCCUGAUCCAGCCAUGCCGCGUGAGUGAAGAAGGCCUUCGGGUUGUAAAGCUCUUUCAGCCGGAACGAAACGGUCACGGCUAAUACCUGUGACUACUGACGGUACCGGAAGAAGAAGCACCGGCUAACUACGUGCCAGCAGCCACGGUGGUACGUACGGUGCAAGCCUAAUCGGAAUUUCUGGGCGUUUAGCGCGCGCACGCGGUUUUGUUAGUCAGAUGUGAAAUCCCCGGGCAAAACCUGGGAACUGCGUUUGAAACUACAAAGCUAGAAU